UCCUAAAAAUGUGAUUAUUUCCUUUUGUAAGCAGUUGAAAAUGUGAGAUUUUAGAUCAGUUGCAGGUGAACUCCAUUGAUUUGUGUCAUGAGUGCAGCUGUGCUUCAGCAUGAAGCCUCAAACACGCAGCCCGAGCGUUAAUACCCAGCGUGAAAGUCCAGAGUUGCUAAAUAUUACAGUCAUCUGCUGAGUGUUAAAGUGCUCCGACAGCCACAGGAAGGCCAGGAUGAGUCAAUCAGCUGUUAACACAUCCGUAACGUAGCAUCAUGUGACCAGAAGUGACCCUGAAGUCACAACCGAAAAGAUCUGAAAAAACACGAUUAGCAGUUUUAAUCUAAUCUAAUCUUUCAGAAUCAGAUUAUUGAUUUGUGUAUAACAAAUAUAGUUUUUGUUCCUCCGAAGUGUUUUUAAAUCUCUAAACCAGAAUAUGUUGUCUUUGGGCUGAAGUUUAAAUGAAAUGUUUAAAACAAAUCUGUGGAAAAAUGAAUAAAAUAGACCCAUCGUUGUAAACAGAAUAAAUGUGAGAUUUCAUGAGUCAUGCUGAAACAUAACUUUAGAAAAUGGAUAAUAAACUGCUUCUUCAAACACAAUAUUAUAUUUAAAAUAAAGCUCAAACACCAGAAAAAGAAGUUAAAAGCUCCUGAAAACUUGACAGAGACACGUCAGCCAAGCGGACCUCUUACAGGAGCGAAGAACAAACACGUGAAAGGUGACGUGCCGCCAACGUCUCCAAGUGGGAGGGAUAUCGUCCUACAAAUACGUGCGAUCUAACCCCUCCACCCAUUACCAAAUCUGCAAACUAUCCAGAAACCUCUCCAGCCAUGUGACCUGGAGGAACAAAAUGACCCCGAGUUCAGAGUCUGGUGGACUGAGAGGACGAGACAGAAGCUCCAGUUGAAGAUGCUCCUACAGCUGCAGAUGGAGCGGCGGUCCUGGUGCACAUGCAGGUAGGAGGAAGAAGAGAAGAUGUAACGUGGAUGAGAUCCCAUCCUGAUACAAGCCGGGACGUAGGAGAAAGAGCCCCAAGCUAACAGACGCAUGGUGUUAAAGCACUAACCACGGAGCGCCGGCGUGCCCACCUCGCUCAGGGAGAGAAACGAUCAUGUGUGAAAUGAGAUCUCUGCACAAUCAGGGGGAGCUGGAGCCAUAAAGCACACCAGGCGUUGAGGUAUCAUCAAACAAGUCGUACGAAUCUCUUCACUUGAUGACUUUGCAGUUGUUGCAGUCCAAUAACAGCCCUUUUACUUCUUUUUACAAACACAUUUCUGGACAUUUAAAGGUGUCCUAGCAGUGGUUCUACUACACUGUAAAAACUGAUUUUCAAGAAGGUUAAAUAGCUGCGUUUUUAGACACUUUAUCUUAUUUUAGUCUAAAACAAUCUUUCUUUUCUGCUAAAACAGCACUAUAAAAAUUCUGAAAUGUGAUAACAGUUUCUCGUUUUGAGUUUUAAAAAAAUAAACACCGAUGGGGUAAGCAAAAGUUGAUUUGCUAAAAAUCUUAAAGACAAAUUUACUGAGAACUUGUUAUAUUUAUUUAUAAUUGGUCAAUCUGAGUUUCACAUGCAGGCUGAAUGUGAAAAUACUCUUCUAUCCCGGUUUCCUGCAUUAGCCGCCAUAGGGAGCCUAAGUCGCGCCCAUCUAAUUCCGGACCACGGAUCCCCAAAAGAUCAAAAAAAUGAACGCGAGUCAGCGGGGCGAAAAACGCUAUUUUCUAAUUCCGCUUGUUAUGUGCCAUGGAUCUCACAUAUGAUGUCUGUGAAUUUUAAAGAAGCUUUCUGAUACCAAGAACUUGCUUAUUUUUGAACGGGGUGGGGGGUGGGGGCGCUAUUUUAGGUUUUGUGUGAAAAUAAAUUCAGGAUUACAACACAAAGGGAAAAAGAGCUGUAAGUUCAUCAAACUUCAAAUCCUUCCCACAGGAGGAAAAAACACCAUAAAUCUGGUCAUGUGGUGAGUAGCAGCUAGGCUAGGGGAGAGGGGAUUAUGUGGUGAUGUCACAUAUGCGACGUGCCGAUUUCUAGUUUGUAAUCAUGCCAAGUACGAACUUUUACAAGCUGAUAAAUCUCAAAGUACGUGACUGCCGUGGUCGAAACAACAUCAUUACUUUUCAUUUAAAUUGCAGUACAACAUGUGUGUGAUCCAGGGCGUAAGGCUAAGCGGAUUAGAAAAGAGCUCUUUUAGCCUCGUUGGCUUGCAUUCAUUUUUUUUCGUUCUUCCGGGGACCCGUGAGCCGACCGGAAAGGGAGGAGACUUAGGCUCCCUGUACUUCCUGAAACCGGAGCACCACAGCUUUCUUCCCCAGAUUGAUUCACAAGAUCUUAAUUUAUUUUUACUGCAAAUGUACUGAAAAACGAGUCUUUUAUCAUUUCAGCUGAGGUAUCAUUUUGCUUUCCUGCUGGCCGAGUUUUUAUCACUCAAAAAAAGAAAACGUAAUCACAUUUAAAACUUUCUCACCUUUUAUCCAUUACAAAUAAGAUUAAUUUUAGAGUAAAAAUAAUAUAAAAUGUACAAAACAAGCCUCUUUUAUUCUUUUCUUGAGAAUCAGUUGUUGCAGUGUAAACACUUUCCACAUUCCAGCAGCAGGCGACCCUGAAUCACUGAUUUUUCUGUUUUAUGACACACGACUUCUAUAAUUCACCAAAGCUACAGAAUUGACUGUAUGUUUUUAUGAUUUAUCUUUACAAUAGACUUUCACCACAUUCCCCACAUGCCUCCGCCUCAGCCAGAUAUUCUAUAAGCAAACCAUAAAUUCUGGAUCAUAAUGAGAUACAACCAUGAAUACAUUCUGUAUUCUUACCUUCAUAACUGACAAGUAAUUGCGGGCUGAAAUAUGUUUGUUUGCAAGCACAGAGAGAUUUGGGGGCUGUGAUGGGAGGUGUGGGACUUCAGCAGCUCCUCUGGCGCAGAUGGAUGGAGGGUUCGUCGUUGCUGCCCAACGAGACGCAGAAAAUAAAAAGAUGCUUGUGUGGAGAAGAAGAUGGAGUUAUCUUAUACGAAGAAAGAGUUUCAUUGAAAAUGAAGUUUUCUGUGAGUGAGGCAGCUUCUGUACCGUAAGAUCCCAGAUCAUUAGGAUCAUUAAGUUCUAUCAUCAGGAAACUUUCAACAUGAAUUAUUAAUGAGAACUUUUGUUGGAUUUCCUAACAAAGUGGAAGA